ensembl:lincRNA Gm26705 predicted gene, 26705
AGCUUCAUGUCCUAGAACCGAGUCUCCUCUCUUUCGUAAAAUCGCCCCAACCAAUGAAUACUAAUUUUUUAAGUCCCAGAUGCUGCACUGGGGGAAAGGGAGAAAAAGGAAGAUUCUGGAAAGAGACCCAAGGGAGGAGGGAAAACACAGAUGAAGUCAUGAGGAUGCCACCCCACCCCACUUCAGACACAUGCCCUUAAAGAAGAGGAAGAGGCCGGAGUCAUAUGUUUGCAGCAUCUGCAUAGCAGGAAAUGGAUCCUCACGGACACCACUUGCAUCAGAGCUUUGAUGUUGUACUUCCCACGCCCUGGAACUGUGGAGAGAGAUCCCUGUUUGUCUGCAUGAGGCAACAAGCUUGCGAGCAGAAGCUGCAACUAAGGAUUAUGGAGGUGCAGACAGAAGGAGCCUGGACCUGCCGCUGGUUGCACUGGCCUUCUGGGAUUCUGCUUGCCCUUACUCUCUGCCCUCUUCUUCUUCUUCUUCUUUUCUUCUUCUUCUUCUUCUUCUUCUUCUUCUUCUUCUUCUUCUUCUUCUUCUUCUUCUUCUUCUGUUUUAGAUUUUUUUUAUGAGAAAAAUAAACACAUUUUUGGUAGGUCAGCGUCCUGUAGCUUGUAGCCAAGUACAAGCCCUGGAGACAGCAAUGGCUUUAAGUCCUUCAUGUUUCUUUAAAUGGUCUUUAAAUGUAUAGUGGCAGAAGUCUUGACUCACAACACUAAGGAACCAGAGGCAGGCAGAUCACUGUGAGUUCAAGGCCAGCUACAUAGUGAGACUGUGUCAGAGAGAGAGGGACAGAGAGAGAGAGAGACAGAGACAGAGACAGAGAGACAGAGACAGAGAGACAGAGAGAGACAGAGACAGAGUUUUCUUUGAUCAGUAAGCCUGUUCCUCCCUGACAGACAAUGCCUCCGCUAGCACACAGUAAGUCUGUACUAGUGAGGAUCUCCCGUUUUACUGAUCCGUUCCUGGACAAUCAAUACAAAGAUGGAGGGUGUUAAAGCCUCUUCUCUUCCUUCCCCUCCUGCUCCUCCUCCUUAUUUUCUAUGUUGUUAUUUAUUUUUUCACAAAUACCAGGUCCCAUCCCACACUGUAUGACACAACACCGAACAAAGCAAGCAAGUCCUUGUGUGGCCCUUUGGCAGUGCAAGCCACCCUUCGUUGUUCCAUAUUCAUUUUGGAGUCAGUCUGACCAAUUCUUGACAAUUCUAAUGGAAAGAAAAUUUCAUGAAGUGCUUCGCCAGACUCCAUUGUCUAUAUAACACUGUGUUCUGUUUUGUGAAAGAACAUUUGAGCUGUUUCUAGUUUGGGAAUAUUAAAACAUUAUGCUUUUGUGAAUGCUU